rnacentral:rRNA from 1 species
GACGAACGCUGGCGGCGUGCCUAAUACAUGCAAGUUGAGCGAUGAAGAUUGGUGCUUGCACCAAUUUGAAGAGCAGCGAACGGGUGAGUAACGCGUGGGGAAUCUGCCUUUGAGCGGGGGACAACAUUUGGAAACGAAUGCUAAUACCGCAUAACAACUUUAAACAUAAGUUUUAAGUUUGAAAGAUGCAAUUGCAUCACUCAAAGAUGAUCCCGCGUUGUAUUAGCUAGUUGGUGAGGUAAAGGCUCACCAAGGCGAUGAUACAUAGCCGACCUGAGAGGGUGGUCGGCCACAAUGGGACUGGGACACGGCCCAAACUCCCUCGGGAGGCAGCAGUAAGGAAUCUUCGGGAAUGGACGAAAGUCUGGCCGGGCAACGCCGCGUGGGUGAAGGAAGUUUUCGGAUCGUAAAACUCUGUUGGUAGGGGAGAACGUUGGUGGGAGUGGAAAGCUCACCAAGUGACGGUAACUACCCAGAAAGGGACGGCUAACUACGUG